UAGGGAAUUUUGCGCAAUGGGCGAAAGCCUGACGCAGCAACGCCGCGUGUGUGACGAAGCCCUUCGGGGUGUAAAGCACUGUCAGUGGGGACGAAACUUGACGGUACCCACAGAGGAAGCACCGGCUAACUCCGUGCCAGCAGCCGCGGUAAUACGGAGGGUGCAAGCGUUGUCCGGAAUCAUUGGGCGUAAAGCGUUCGUAGGCGGCAUACCAAGUCUGGUGGUAAAGCCCGGGGCUCAACCUCGGUUCGGCACUGGAUACUGGUAAGCUAGAAUUCGGUAGAGGUGAGGGGAAUUCCUGGUUGAGCGGUGAAAUGCGUAGAUAUCAGGAGGAACAUCGGUGGCGAAAGCGCCUCACUGGGCCGUUAUUGACGCUGAGGAACGAAAGCCGGGGGAGCAAAUG
rnacentral:rRNA from 1 species